rnacentral:snoRNA from 1 species
UUUUUAUGAUGAGAAACCUUCUAUUCAGUUCUGCUUCUGCAAAAUCAUUGAAGAAAAACCAUUUACCAAAAUAACGAUCCUGAUAC